CCUGUUAGACGGGAGUGCUCUCAACUCUCAUUGGCUCAGAUGAAUCACUCCACAACUCAGGGAGCAAGGCGCUCAGUGCUUAGCCUUUCUGAUCCCAGCUGUGAUGCCUGUUAUGUGGAGUCUACUGGGAACUGGAAUGGAAACAUCACAUACAUUUCACAUAGACCAGCCUCUAAGCUACUAAGCUCAAUAAGAAAAUUGGGUCAAGCUGGCUGCCCGGAUUUGAAGAUAGGUCUUCUGUUCCCUACACUGAAGCUUUAAUUUAUGAAGUGUUCAACAUGCAUGUUAGAUGCCUUUCAUGAUUCCUCAUUGUACCAUUGAAGAUAUUGUAUUGAGUGGAUAUUUUAUUGCCAAAGAUUCCUGUGUUUUCACCCAUCACUAUCAAAUCAACUAUGACAAAAAAUUAUAGAAGAACCCAGGUUUGUUUAGCCCUGAAAGAUUACUUGAAGAAAAUAGACAACAAAUCAAGGACCUAGCUGAAAAGUAAUGAUCUUCAGGACUGGCAAGAGAAGGUAUCUGGAAGAAAGCUUUGCUCACGUGGAAAUAUUCAUCUUCCUAACAAUGUUACUACACAGACUGAACAUCAAGCAUCCGAUAGGCCAGAAAAUAGAUCUAGAUCUACUAUUUUGGACUAACUAUGAAACCAAACAGUUUUAAAAUGCCAUCUCUCUACACAUACAUUUCAAGUACAUUUUGGUCACAAUUUUGAUUCAGAGACAUACCCAUUUGAAAAUCUGGGCCUUCAUAAACAAUAGGGGGAGUUUAACAAUUGUUUUUAAAAAAGGACUUAAAUCAGGGCUUGUGUACACAGAGCAGCAAUUUGGGUGUGAUUUCUAAAGCACACUAACAUGUUGUAUGUUAAUUGGUAUGUGUAGACCCUGCUAGUGUACACAAAAGAUUCCCUAAUGUACUUGAAUGUAGUGCUGUUUCAAACAGUACUACGUGAAAGCAUGCUAGGAACCCAUAAUGUGCACCACAUGGACCAAUUAAUGCACAACAUGUUAGUGUGCCUUAGAAAUCACAUUCCAAAGUGCACAUUGCUUCUCUGUGUAGACAAGAAAAGCAUAUAAGUAAGUAUUUGCAGGUUCAGGAUCUAUACACCUCUACCCCAAUACAACGUGACCCGAUAUAACAUGAAUUUGGAUACAAUGCAGUAAAGCAGCGC